AUUAAGUCCACGAGGAUCUUUAAAAGCCAGCGGUAAGGAUAACGCGGUCACCACUCUCUGACCGGGAGCCACAUCCUACCGUUUGACGUGUGCCAUGCCCAGCUCAUCGCGCUACCUUGGGGGCUCCCUCAGACUCCCAGCAACGCUCUCGGCCACUGGCUUCCUUUGUAGGAACAACACAGCUGGGGGAAGGCUGUACUCCUGGAGCUCCCCUCACCCUCCAGAACAAGCCUGGUGUCCUGAAUCUCCUCUGCACCUCCCUGUUGCCUGCAUCUUGGGAGGCCAUGCCCCCUUCUCCGAGGAGAACGAGACAAAAUGCCAUCAGGCUAUAAAGAAAAGCAACUACAUCAAACAGCUAUUAAAAUAUCUCCUAAAAUUUGAUGUCAUAAUGUAUGUCUUCCUUAUGUACUGUAUAUAGUCUGUAUGUGCAUACACACACAUACCAUGUAACUUAGUGUAUAGUACGUUAUAUAAUUGAGAGAUUAGACAUAGUAUAAUACAUAUAAUAUGUAAACAUAUCACAUAUUCACAAUACAUAUAUACUGUAUAUAAUACAUAGGACAUGAAUAUAAUUAUAUGUACAGUAUGUACAGUAUGAGUAUAUACAUGUAUGUACGUACUGUGGAAGAUAUACAUCCCAUAUAACUGAGCACAUAUGAUUACAUUUAUUCACUCAUGGCACCUGAGCUCUAGCAGCC
rnacentral:lncRNA from 1 species